rnacentral:rRNA from 1 species
GGUGAGUAACACGUAGGAACCUACCCUUAGGCGGGGGACAACUCAGGGAAACUUGAGCUAAUACCGCAUAAAUCCACGGGCUGGGAUGCUUGUGGGGAAAGUGGCAACACACCUAAGGAUGGGCCUGCGGCCUAUCAGGUAGUUGGUAGGGUAAGGGCCUACCAAGGCGACGAUCCGUAGCUGGUCUGAGAGGAUGAUCAGCCACACUGGGACUGAGGCACGGCCCAGACUCCUACGGGAGGCAGCAGUGGGGAAUCUUGGACAAUGGGCGCAAGCCUGAUCCAGCAAUGCCGCGUGAGUGAAGAAGGCCUGCGGGUUGUAAAGCCCUUUCGGUGGGGAGGAAGGCUCUGGUGCGAAGAGCGCUGGGACUUGUCGUUACCCACAGAAGACGCACCGGCCAACUCCGUGCCAGCAGCCGCGGUAAUACGGAGGAUGCGAGCGUUAAUCGGAAUUACUGUGCGUAAAGGGCGCGUAGACGGUACGUAGAGUCAGCUGUAAAAGCCCUGGGCUUUAACCCUGGGAAUGGCAGUUGAGACUGGCGUGCUGGCAGUGCGACAGAGGAUGGUGGAAUUCCCCGGUGUAGCGGUGAAAUGCGUAGAGAUCGGGAGGAACACCGAUGGCGAGGCAGCCGUCUGGCUCGAGACUGACGCUGAGGCGCGACCGUUGGCGAGCAAACAGGAUUAGAUACCCUGCUAGUCCAUGCGUAGACGAUGAGACUAGACGUCAGGCGGGUGCAGCCGUUUGGUGCCGGAGCUAACCGCGUUAAGUCCGCCGCCUGGCGCAGUACGGGCCGCAAGGUU